CAAUAGCGUAUAUUAAAGUUGUUGCGGUUAAAAAGCUCGUAGUUGGAUUUCUGCUGAGAACGACCGGUCCGCCCUCUGGGUGUGUAUCUGGCUCUUUCUUGGCAUCUUCUUGGUGAACGUUGCUGCACUUGACUGUGUGGAGCGCUACCCAGGACUUUUACUUUGAGGAAAUUAGAGUGUUUCAAGCAGGCAUACGCCUUGAAUACAUUAGCAUGGAAUAAUAAGAUAGGACCUCGGUUCUAUUUUGUUGGUUUCUAGAGCUGAGGUAAUGAUUAAUAGGGAUAGUUGGGGGCAUUCGUAUUUAACUGUCAGUGGUGAAAUUCUUGGAUUUGUUAAAGACGGACUACUGCGAAAGCAUUUGCCAAGGAUGUUUNCAUUG
rnacentral:rRNA from 1 species